GUAGGCCCGGGGGUUCCCGGCCUGGCCGGGUAGCAGCGCGGGGGCGGCCCUGGGGCGGGGAGACAGGGGGCGGCUCCACUCCGGCGCUCUGCGGAGGACAGCAGCGAUCGCCAAGGCUCAGUGAGUCCCCGCACUAGCGCGGCACCUGGCACUUGGCGGGGCCGAACCAACGAAUGAGCGAAUUUGCCGAGAGUCGCCCCGUCUGAAUCCAUUGACUCUUUCCUUGCCUCGGUCCUACCCUCAUUCCUCGACUCACUUCCUCCUGCCCUUCCUCACUAUCUCCCUCCCCGCUCAUAUCCUCCCUCUCCUUUCCUCAUUCCCUUCUUCACUCUCUUCUCUCCUCUCUUACUCCCCCCCUCUCAUUCCCUCCCUCCUUCACUCUCUCAUUCCUUCCCUUCCUAUCUUACCCACCAUUCCCUUCCUCCCUCACUCAUUCACUCCCUCCCUGUCUCCCCCUCUCAUCCCCUCCCUCUCUCAUUCCCUUUCCCUCCCUCCUUAACUCUCGUUCUCUCCUCCCUCUCUCAUUCCUUCCCUCCCUGUCUCAUUUCCCCCCUUCUUUCCCUCCCUCCCUCUCCUCUUCUCCCAUUGCCUCCCUCCCUCUUUGAUUCCCUUCUUUCCUCCUCUCCUCCACUUGUUCCCUUCGUCACGCGCUCAUUCCCUCCCUCCCGCGGCCUGCUCCUUCCCCGCUCCCUCCGCGGUCGGUGCCGCUGACCGUAGCGCGCCCCCUGCGGGAUAUCGGGGAGAAUCGCUUAACACCGCCAGAGUGAACAGAGGGGUGUCAACCAGGAACCUUGUGAUGCGUGAGGAAAAAAUAUUACCUUUUCCCCCUACUCUUUCUGGCACCCAACAAACAAGUGGGGUGGCAAAGACACCCCACUUGGGACAACUGGCAAAAGGUAAGCAUUCUUACCAAGGUUAACUGUCCCAUAUCACUGCCUG
rnacentral:lncRNA from 1 species